UACGUAGGGUGCAAGCGUUGUCCGGAAUUAUUGGGCGUAAAGAGCUCGUAGGCGGCUUGUCGCGUCGGCUGUGAAAACCUGGGGCUCAACCCCGGGCCUGCAGCCGAUACGGGCAAGCUAGAAUUCGGUAGGGGAGACUGGAAUUCCUGGUGUAGCGGUGAAAUGACGCAGAUAUCAGGAGGAACACCGGUGGCGAAGGCGGGUCUCUGGGCCGACACUGACGCUGAGGCGCGAAAGCUAGGGGAGCAAACGGG
rnacentral:rRNA from 1 species